AUUGAACGCUGGCGGCAUGCCUUACACAUGCAAGUCGAGCGGCAGCACGGGUGCUUGCACCUGGUGGCGAGUGGCGAACGGGUGAGUAAUACAUCGGAACAUGUCCUGUAGUGGGGGAUAGCCCGGCGAAAGCCGGAUUAAUACCGCAUACGAUCUACGGAUGAAAGCGGGGGACCUUCGGGCCUCGCGCUAUAGGGUUGGCCGAUGGCUGAUUAGCUAGUUGGUGGGGUAAAGGCCUACCAAGGCGACGAUCAGUAGCUGGCCUGAGAGGACGACCAGCCACACUGGGACUGAGACACGGCCCAGACUCCUACGGGAGGCAGCAGUGGGGAAUUUUGGACAAUGGGCGAAAGCCUGAUCCAGCAAUGCCGCGUGUGUGAAGAAGGCCUUCGGGUUGUAAAGCACUUUUGUCCGGAAAGAAAUCCUUGGCCCUAAUACGGUCGGGGGAUGACGGUACCGGAAGAAUAAGCACCGGCUAACUACGUG
rnacentral:rRNA from 1 species